UCUGCCUGGAGACAUAGGAACCAAACCUAACAGCAGACUUUGCACAGCUUCAAGAAUUCAGUGAAAAGUGUUGACAAAACACCAUCAUGUGGAGUCCUGGAAUAAAGACUUCCAAAAGAUUAUACAGAGAAACAGCCUAAUUUCUGACCACAUCACCAGCAUCUCUAUAAUUUGAUCAGCAAAUCAUCAUUAUGUUCACCCUGUCAGAGCACUGCAACAAAAAGCCCUCCAGUGCACCUUGUGUCUUUCCAGGCAAGUGCAGCUGUGAGCUGGACCCCCAGAUCCAACUGGAACUUAAAUUUCACUGGGAGAAAAAGGUUGUUCCUAAUUUACAAGACUUUAUCAGGUUUCACAGAGCUCACACCUGAACUGCUACUUCACAGGAAAGUUCAGGU